UACGGAGGGGGCUAGCGUUGUUCGGAAUUACUGGGCGUAAAGCGCUCGUAGGCGGAUUGGUCAGUCGAGGUGAAAGCCCAGGGCUCAACCCUGGAACUGCCUUUGAUACUGCCAGUCUAGAGUUCGGGAGAGGUGAGCGGAAUUCCGAGUGUAGAGGUGAAAUUCGAUAGAUAUUCGGAGGAACACCAGAGGCGAAGGCGGCUCACUGGACCGAUACUGACGCUGAGGAGGCGAAAAGCGUGGGGAGCAAACAGGGAUUAAGAUACCCCCGUAGUCC
rnacentral:rRNA from 1 species